AGAGUUUGAUCCUGGCUCAGAUUGAACGCUGGCGGCAUGCCUUACACAUGCAAGUCGAACGGUAACGCGGGGCAACCUGGCGACGAGUGGCGAACGGGUGAGUAAUACAUCGGAACGUGCCCAGUAGUGGGGGAUAGCCCGGCGAAAGCCGGAUUAAUACCGCAUACGACCUACGGGUGAAAGUGGGGGAUCGCAAGACCUCACGCUAUUGGAGCGGCCGAUGUCAGAUUAGGUAGUUGGUGGGGUAAAAGCCUACCAAGCCGACGAUCUGUAGCUGGUCUGAGAGGACGACCAGCCACACUGGGACUGAGACACGGCCCAGACUCCUACGGGAGGCAGCAGUGGGGAAUUUUGGACAAUGGGCGAAAGCCUGAUCCAGCCAUGCCGCGUGCGGGAAGAAGGCCUUCGGGUUGUAAACCGCUUUUGUCAGGGAAGAAACGGCUUAAUCUAAUAAAUUGAGCUAAUGACGGUACCUGAAGAAUAAGCACCGGCUAACUACGUGCCAGCAGCCGCGGUAAUACGUAGGGUGCAAGCGUUAAUCGGAAUUACUGGGCGUAAAGCGUGCGCAGGCGGCUUUGCAAGACAGAUGUGAAAUCCCCGGGC
rnacentral:rRNA from 1 species